AGAGUUUGAUCAUGGCUCAGAACGUACGCUGGCGGCACGCCUAACACAUGCAAGUCGAACGCAGUAGCAAUACUGAGUGGCGAACGGGUGAGUAUAAUGUGGGUAUCUGCCUUUUGGUUUGGAAUAACACGAGGAAACUUGUGCUAAUACCGGAUAAGCCCUUACGGGGAAAGUUUUAACGCCGAAAGAUGAGCUCGCACUUGAUUAGCUAGUUGGUAGGGUAAUGGCUUACCAAGGCAACGAUCAAUAGCUGUUCUUAGAGGAAGAUCAGCCACAUUGGGACUGAGACACGGCCCAAACUCCUACGGGAGGCAGCAGUGGGGAAUCUUGCACAAUGGGGGAAACCCUGAUGCAGCGAUGCCGCGUGAGUGAAGAAGGCCCUUGGGUUGUAAAACUCUUUCGUCGGGGAAGAAAAUGACUGUACCCGAAUAAGAAGGUCCGGCUAACUUCGUGCCAGCAGCCGCGGUAAUACGAAGGGACCUAGCGUAGUUCGGAAUUACUGGGCUUAAAGAGCACGUAGGUGGUUAAGAAAGUUGGUGGUGAAAUCCCAAGGCUCAACCUUGGAAUUGCCACCAAAACUUUUUAACUAGAGUAUGAUAGAGGUAAGCGGAAUUUCUAGUGUAGAGGUGAAAUUCGUAGAUAUUAGAAAGAACACCAAUUGCGAAGGCAGCUUACUGGAUCAUUACUGACACUGAGGAGCGAAAGCAUGGGUAGCGAAGAGGAUUAGAUACCCUCGUAGUCCAUGCCGUAAACGAUGUGUGCUAGACGUUGGAAAUUUAUUUUUCAGUGUCGCAGCAAAAGCGUUAAGCACACCGCCUGGGGAGUACGACCGCAAGGUUAAAACUCAAAUGAAUUGACGGGGACCCGCACAAGUAGUGGAGCAUGUGGUUUAAUUCGAAGAUACGCGCAGAACCUUACCAACACUUGACAUGUUUGUCGCGACUCUAAGAGAUUGGAGUCUUCGGUUCGGCCGGACAAAACACAGGUGCUGCAUGGCUGUCGUCAGCUCGUGUCGUGAGAUGUUGGGUUAAGUCCCGCAACGAGCGCAACCCUCACUUUUAGUUGCCAUCAUUAAGUUGGGAACUCUAAAAGAACUGCCAGUGAUAAGCUGGAGGAAGGUGGGGAUGACGUCAAGUCCUCAUGGCCCUUACGUGUUGGGCUACACACGUGCUACAAUGGCACUUACAAUAGGAAGCAAAGAGGCAACUCUAAGCGAAGCCUAAAAAUGUGCCUCAGUUCGGAUUGCACUCUGCAACUCGAGUGCAUGAAGCUGGAAUUACUAGUAAUCGCGGAUCAGCGCGCCGCGGUGAAUACGUUCCCGGGUCUUGUACACACCGCCCGUCACACCAUGGAAGUUGGUUUCACCUUAAGGCAAAUUGUUAACCUUCGGGAUACAUUUGACUACGGUAUGAUCAACAACUGGGGUGAAGUCGUAACAAGGUAGCC
rnacentral:rRNA from 1 species